GGCGAACGCUAGGGGUCCUGGCUGCGGAUAAUUGUUUGCAGCCGGGUGAGAAACACCCUCGAACCUGAUCUGGAUAAUGCCAGCGAAGGGAAGCUUUCGGAAUGCCUC
rnacentral:ncRNA from 2 species